CACCCAUUGUGACCUUACCUAUGUUCUGUUGCCUCGGCGGCGUGGUCAGCGCCCCCUCUGAAAAGAGGACGAUGCCCUCCCGCCGGCAGCACCAAACUCUUUGAAUUUUACAGCGGAUUACAGUUCUGAUUUGAAAACAAAAAACAAGUUAAAACUUUCAACAACGGAUCUCUUGGUUCUGGCAUCGAUGAAGAACGCAGCGAAAUGCGAUAAGUAAUGUGAAUUGCAGAAUUCAGUGAAUCAUCGAAUCUUUGAACGCACAUUGCGCCCGGCAGUAAUCUGCCGGGCAUGCCUGUCCGAGCGUCAUUUCAACCCUCGAACCUCCGUUUCCUCAGGGAAGCUCAGGGUCGGUGUUGGGGCGCUACGGCGAGUCUUCGCGACCCUCCGUAGGCCCUGAAAUACAGUGGCGGUCCCGCCGCGGUUGCCUUCUGCGUAGUAAGUCUCUUUUGCAAGCUCGCAUUGGGUCCCGGCGGAGGCCUGCCGUCAAACCACCUAUAACUCCAGAUGGUUUGACCUCGGAUCAGGU
rnacentral:rRNA from 1 species